rnacentral:rRNA from 1 species
UGAGCAAUCUGCCCUUCUCAUCGGAAUAAGCGUUGGAAACGACGUCUAAUGCCGAAUACGACCUCCUUUCGCAUGAUCGGAGGUGGAAAGCUCCGGCGGAGAAGGAUGAGCCCCGCGGCCUAUCAGCUAGUUGGUGUGGGUAAUGGCCCACCAAGGCGACGACGGGUAGCCGGCCUGAGAGGGUGACCGGCCACACUGGGACUGAGACACGGCCCAGACUCCGUACGGGGA